AAUCUAUGGUGCGGGCAUUUUUGAAUCAAUAUUUUGAAACGUUCCCAUGCCUCAUAAAAACUUUUGCCCUCUAUCUGUCUAAAAACAACAAUCUCUCGCCUUACUUGGACU